rnacentral:rRNA from 1 species
UCAGCAACACUGGGACUGAGACACGGCCCAGACUUCUACGGAAGGCAGCGUAGGGAAUCUUGGACAAUGGGCGAAAGCCUGAUCCAGCCAUGCCNCGGAGUGAUGAAGGCCCUAGGGUUGUAAAACUCUUUCGCCAGGGAAGAUAAUNACGGUACCUGGUNAANAA